rnacentral:lncRNA from 1 species
ACGAACGACUCUUCCCUGCUGCACCCAGGGCAAAAUCAAUUUACUCCUCUAAGUCACUUUCACUCGGCUGUUUUUAUUACCGUUUCCACAGCAUCUCAUCCUGCUAGAACAAAAUGCAAUCAAAAUAUGGAUUUAAUUUGACAAGGGGAAAGGGCCACGAACAACUGUAAAUUGUCAGUACUGUGGCAUACGACAGCCCUGAUCUCUGCAAGAACAAAGAUGAGUCAAGCGGCUUUUGCAGAUUGAAGCGAGCUGUCAUAGGGCUCCAAAGACGAAGCUUAGAGGUGACAUUGAAACUGUUGCACCAGUCAAAAAGAUUCAAAGGUCAGCUCUAAGCUGGCAGGACGCUGGAGGGCCAGUGUGGAGCUGAGCAGAGUGCUUCCCGGAAGAGAGCAGUCUUUGGAAUGGAGGUUGGGGAGUGAAGUGCUAUGGAGGCAGAAACACCAGGGCUAAGGUACCAAAGGGGAAUGCAAGGUUGCUUCCUAACGUGAAUCACUUUGCCAUUAAAGCUCUGUGCUCUGGCUGCAGGGACUGAUGUAAAU